rnacentral:rRNA from 1 species
AUGCAAGUCGAACGGGAUCCCAGGAGCUUGCUCCUGGGUGAGAGUGGCGAACGGGUGAGUAAUGCGUGACCGACCUGCCCCAUACACCGGAAUAGCUCCUGGAAACGGGUGGUAAUGCCGGAUGCUCCGACUCCUCGCAUGGGGUGUCGGGAAAGAUUCUAUCGGUAUGGGAUGGGGUCGCGUCCUAUCAGGUAGUCGGCGGGGUAACGGCCCACCGAGCCUACGACGGGUAGCCGGGUUGAGAGACCGACCGGCCACAUUGGGACUGAGAUACGGCCCAGACUCC